ncrna:unclassified sequences ROOL RNA
GAUUUUAAACAAUCUACUGAAUAACCAAGUGUAGAUAGGGUGACACCUUGCUUGGAUUGUAUACAUAAUUCCCGUUACGCUCUCCGUGAGAUAUUGCGGAGGGAUAAGUAAUUCUCUUUUGAGUAAUUGAAAGAGAUCAUGAAGUGUAAGAAGAUUGAGGGUGUAUGCAGUAUAGAGGUUGUGCGUAAUUAGACCAUUAUCAGACGGUGGCGGUGAUAAUAGACGCUUUCGGUGAAAGAAUAAUCUGGGGUAGGCCUUGCGUAGCAGUAAGAACUGAACCAGAAAUGCUAAAAUAAACCGUUUUGCACUUGAGGCCGAGGGAUCGGCCAAUAACACCAAAGAUAAGUACAAGUAGCCCAAAGUGUGCAGAUAAAACAUUUGGAUAUGUUUAUGCUUAAAAUAUAUUUCUGAAUGACGGGUGAAAGUUGGACGUAACCAGUCGUGCCUAGUCAUUUAAUCGCUACGGAAGUUAUAGGGUCGCUCCUUAUGGCUCAGACCGUGGUAGGCUAUCGGUCAAUAAAUUGCGUACAAUCGAAGUAGAGCGAAGGCUCAUUUAGUUGAUUGUUUAAAG